AUUGAACGCUGGCGGCAGGCCUAACACAUGCAAGUCGAGCGGAUGAAGGGAGCUUGCUCCUGGAUUCAGCGGCGGACGGGUGAGUAAUGCCUAGGAAUCUGCCUGGUAGUGGGGGAUAACGUCCGGAAACGGGCGCUAAUACCGCAUACGUCCUGAGGGAGAAAGUGGGGGAUCGUCGGACCUCACGCUAUCAGAUGAGCCUAGGUCGGAUUAGCUAGUUGGUGGGGUAAAGGCCUACCAAGGCGACGAUCCGUAACUGGUCUGAGAGGAUGAUCAGUCACACUGGAGCUGAGACACGGUCCAGACUCCUACGGGAGGCAGCAGUGGGGAAUAUUGGACAAUGGGCGAAAGCCUGAUCCAGCCAUGCCGCGUGUGUGAAGAAGGUCUUCGGAUUGUAAAGCACUUUAAGUUGGGAGGAAGGGCAGUAAGUUAAUACCUUGCUGUUUUGACGUUACCAACAGAAUAAGCACCGGCUAACUUCGUG
rnacentral:rRNA from 1 species